GAAGCAGCGGCUGAGUUAGGGGCGCGGAUGGAGCCGGGGACGUGUGGCCGCCUGCGUGUGGCGCGAACGCGGGCGUAAGUCGAAGGAGCCGGAGGCGGAUCUCAGGAAUCCUCUCCUGCCCGAGCUCUGACAAUCUGAACGCGGGAAACAAAGGCACAACUUCGGGGGAGGCUGGGCUCGUAUCCCUCGGUGUCUCCACUCUUGCCACUUGCUGUCCGGAGCUCGGGACUCCAACAGGUUCAGACAGAACGGCGGCCCCGCCCCUCCACACCCAGGGAACAGCUCCGACGUCCACACUGCUCAGGGCUCUCGUGAGCACAGGGCAUCUCGCUCCCCUCCCCAGUCCACACCUCACUUCCAAGCCCCUCUCGCUACCUCUCCCCGGCACAGGAAGCCAGACGCAAAACGCGUGACGCCAUGUGCGCGACGCGACCGGAACAGGCCAACCGCAGAGGCGGGACGCGCAGCCUGCCCGGGGCCGGGACGGAGACAGAAAUGAGAAACGUGGCCGACGGGCCCUGGGUUUCCUUUGGGGGCGAUGAAAAAGUUCCGGAAAUAGGACGGUAGUUGCAUCACACGGGCCGUGUACUUAAUGCCACCGAGUUGUACGCUUUAACAGGAUUGCACGGAUUUAACCCUCUUUGGGCAAACACUGGACCAAACGGAGCCAGAGAACUGAUGAUGCCAAUUCUUGCUGACCCCCAGGACUUUGAUCCACCAGGACCCCAGGAUUUCGACCCUCCAGAUCCCUGGGACUUUGAUCCAUCAGGACCUGGACUCUGUCAACUUACUGGAUGACUUGUGCCCCAAUUCUAGACUUCCCUUGCCAAGCCCUUCACGAAUGUGCAUGCAUCUUUAGCUUAAAACUUGCCCAAUUUUGUUGUUCGGGGGGGGAGUGCACCGUUUGGGGAAAAAUCCCCAGUAGACUCCCUAUUUGUUGCACGCAAACCACUUCCUGAUCCCAGGGUCUGGCUUGGUUGUGUCUUUUGGCCCCACUUCUGCCAAGAGACAAACCCACUUUCAGGUGGCACCUUCUCAUUUUCACUCAGCCUUUAUUUCAUUGCCAAAUUCUCACUUGUUAAGAGAUGCUCUUCCAGACCUCCUUGGUUAGGUCAACGUCCUCCCUCCUAAGGCUCUUUCUUGUAUUUUCAUAGCACAUCAUGUGGCUGUUAAUUGACAUUUAUUUAUAGGCUGUUUUGAGUGAGUGCAUGAGACUGAGGGUGUGAGUGUGCGUGAGUGUGUGUGUGAGCGUCUGUCCCCCACUGGAACUUACACUGACUGCAGACAGGCAGGCACCACGUGUGAUGUUUUCUUUCAUCUGUUCUACUUCGUCUUACUAAUCACUGUAUUCCCCAGCACACAGAGGGGUCUGAUUCAAUUUUUGCUUUUGUUAUGGUUGACUGGUUUGUUUUGAAUGAGGCGAGGAGUCUUGCCCGGGGUGGGUCAACGUGAAUUAGGUUCUCAAGUCACACAGCACCAAGGAAGACACUUAACUCAGGUUCCCUCCCCACCUCCAACUUCCCUAUGCCAGGAAGCCUAGCAGGCUGCAUGGCCUUUGGGCAGAAAGUUCCGGCACCUUAUGCAUCAUGCUCACGAUCUCGGGCAGCCACUGGGUGUUGGCUCCUACCACCAUUUCCACGUCGUUCCUGAAAGUCGUUGCAUCAUCCUCAGAAGGUUUUCUGGCUCAAAGUGGUGGUUAAGAUGCAAAACUAUGCCCGGGGCUGGAACCAGCCCCUCUGAGCUGCUGGCCAGAACACCAAGGUUUGUACCAGGCCAGUUAAAGGCAACAGGCAGAACUUCUUCACGUGUAGCUGAUCCUGGACUAUGGAGCUUGAACAGAAUCUAUUGUCGUCUGUCUUUCGUUUUUGUUUCUGUUGUUGUAGGCUUGUUUUCGUCUAAACGUUUAAAACUUCUACUUUCGCCAAAAAGCAACAUGACGCCCGUGUUUAAAGCAAAGAGAAAUAAAAUCUCAGAUUCUCAAGGGUUCUGUACAAAUGCCAGUUUAUAAGGCAUGUACGUGUCUUGGGAAAGUCACUUGAUCUCA